AUGGAACAUGAUUCUUCAGAAGAUUCCGAUCAGUUUGAGCCGCCGCGAGCACCUGUUUCGAGCAUAAAGAUCGAAUGUCAAUGCGGAACAAAUAACACGAAUAAUCGUUUGAUAAAGUGUGUCGGAUGUGCGCAAUGGCAGCACGCUGUCUGUAUGGGAGUCAGGCCGACGGACUGUGUCACGGCCUACAAGUGCGAGGACUGUGAACCGAGAUUGCUGAUAGUCACCAUCGCCGAGGCGGAAUCAUUCCAAGGAGUUAAGCCGCCAGAGCCCACACCAGCUCCAAAGAUAGAAAGGAAGACAACAAAAGUGCUCUAUAUUCAACGCUUCCUCGAUUUUCUGUCGGACAAGUCAGAAAACAUCAAAAGUCCACUGCCACUGACCAAAUUCUUCCAAGACUACAAAACGAAGAGCAACUGUUCACAAUCUCUGGCUACCGCCAAGAAGAAGCUCUUGGCAAAUCUUUUCGAGCACAUCGUCAUGUCAGCCAAGUACAAUGAUGAUCGAAAGGCCGAAAUGCUCUUCGCAAUUGGAUUGCGCGUUGAGGACGAAUUUUUGGAAAGGCUCAGAGGGCGAGCGACAGUGGAAGUGGACGAUUGUCAACGAAUCACGUUCUAUAAGUCGAAGACCUCCACAUCUUCUCCGGAAACCGUCAGCGUCCGUAAUUUUCUCCAAUACAUCGAGCCAUAUGUAGUCUGCAUGGGCUCCGAGCAGUUGGCUGACUCCAGCCGCAAGAUUCGAGAACAAUUGGAUGCCUGCCGAGUCACAAGCUCAUUUCAAAGGAAAGAUUUCAGUUCGUGCUCGCCGCCACAACAGCCAUAGCUGAAGCACAUUUGUCGGAUGCUUCAGUCAUCGACGGAAUUUCAGCCAUCGAAUUCUUCAAAUAUAUCGAGAAUUACGCAAAGGAUAAGGCACUUUUGAGCCUUUGUGACGAUUUACAGCAAAAGAUUCAGGGACUGGAAGCUAUGGAUAAGAAAAUCCAAUACAACGUGUUGAGCCGUGUCUUCCAAGCCACAAUCUCCCUGGUUUGCCAAUGA